GAUGAACGCUGGCGGCGUGCCUAAUACAUGCAAGUCGAGCGAAUGGAUUAAGAGCUUGCUCUUAUGAAGUUAGCGGCGGACGGGUGAGUAACACGUGGGUAACCUGCCCAUAAGACUGGGAUAACUCCGGGAAACCGGGGCUAAUACCGGAUAACAUUUUGAACCGCAUGGUUCGAAAUUGAAAGGCGGCUUCGGCUGUCACUUAUGGAUGGACCCGCGUCGCAUUAGCUAGUUGGUGAGGUAACGGCUCACCAAGGCAACGAUGCGUAGCCGAGCUGAGAGGGGGAUCGGCCACACGGGGACUGAGACUCGGCCCAGACUCCUACGGGAGGCAGCAGUAGGGAAUCUUCCGCAAUGGACGAAAGUCUGACGGAGCAACGCCGCGUGAGUGAUGAAGGCUUUCGGGUCGUAAAACUCUGUUGUUAGGGAAGAACAAGUGCUAGUUGAAUAAGCUGGCACCUUGACGGUACCUAACCAGAAAGCCACGGCUAACUACGUGCCAGCCGCCGCGGUAA
rnacentral:rRNA from 1 species